rnacentral:ribozyme from 1 species
CCCAUGCGACAGCAGACCACCUUGACGUGGUGCAUGGGCUUUUCACUAAGAGUCUG